rnacentral:rRNA from 1 species
CCUACGGGUGGCAGCAGUGGGGAAUAUUGCACAAUGGGGGAAACUCUGAUGCAGCAACGCCGCGUGAGUGAGGAAGUAUUUCGGUAUGUAAAGCUCUAUCAGCAGGGAAUAGAAAAGAAGGUACCUGACAAAGCAGCCCCGGCUAACUACGUGCCAGUAGGCGCGGUCAUACGUAGGGGGCAAGCGGUAUCCGGGUUUACUGGGUGUAAAGGGAGCGUAGACGGAAAGGCAAGUCAGAAGUGAAAGCCCAAGGCUCAACCAUGGGACUGCUUUUGAAACUGUCAAACUAGAGUACGGGAGAGGUAGGCGGAAUUCCUAGUGUAGCGGUGAAAUGCGUAGAUAUUAGGAGGAACACCAGUGGCGAAGGCAGCUUACUGGACCGAAACUGACGUUGAGGCUCGAAAGCGUGGGGAGCAAACAGGAUUAGAUACCCUUGUAGUC